AAAACACAAGAAAAUCGCUCCAUGACUUUUAAAAGCAGAUGCUGCAUCCUGUCCCUACUUCUGCCCCCAGAAGAGGGUCCCCGUGGCCCUGCUGACCCUGAGGCCUCUUCUCCAGGCUUCUCUGGCCCUGAUGUCCCUCCCAGCCUGUGGCCACAUCUGUUGGUCACCUGCCUCGCAGGCAAUCAGCUGGGUGGGGUCAGAGCCGGGGCCGAGGACUGGGGAGGAAUCUGUCUGCUCUGUGUGGUGCUUGUCACUACCUUCCCUUUCUGAGCCGGCCCUGAGGGGCAAGUGUGGACUCCACCAAGCUCCCCAGAGGGAACCCGAGAAGAGCUGAGCUUUUCCUGAGCUCCUCAAGGAAAGAGACCGGCCUCACCCCAUCCUGAGAGUCCUGGGUGACAGGGCAGGAGUUGCGAGGCAUGUGGGAUCCCCGACCAAGGAUGGAACCCAGGCCGCCUGCAUUGGAAGGUCAGAUGCUCUCCAGUGAGGUCCUGUGGAGACUUGGGUCCCAGAAGUGUUCAUGCCCAGACAGAAGCCUACCCCCAUGCUACUCGGGCCCCAGUGUGGUGCUGGCCUCACCGUGGAGCCUCUGCUGGGUGUGCGGGCUCGGCUGUGAGCUGCUGGGUCUGCCUCCUCCUGCCUCGGUCUCAGGUGCCUGAGCUUCCAGAACAUUCAGGCAGGUGGAGGCACCCCAGGGAGGGUAGGUCCAUGCUCCCAGAGCCGCCCAGCCUGCCUCUGUCCUUCCACCUUCAGCAAGAGCAGCAUUUGCUUUUUGAAGGGCACCCAUGUGUACACUCCAUUUAAAGGAUAACUUCUGAUUAUUUUCUUAA